CUAUGUGAUCUCGAUUAAAACCUGUGCUUACGCUGGGCAACUCUCCUGCCAUAAUUUAGAAGUUUGCUGUGCUACAGCUAUUUGCAGUUGUUAGACUGAAACGUCCUUUCAUCUCUGCAAUCUCAUUCAGUCCCCUAGCAUUGUGGGGAACGCAGGCGAACCACUAUAAAUAACUGAGCCUUUUCAUGUCAGCUGGUACAAAUACCAGCCACUUCGAACAAUCUGACCUUUCUUGGGGAUUCUGACCAAUCUGCAGUAGAAGACGGCUAAUAUCUUUCAGGAUUUUCCAUGGUUAAGGAAAUCAGGAGGGACUGCACCUGUGUUGGACCAUGAGGGAGCACAAAGCGAUGCUGGUUCCUCCCAUACUGACUAAUCCCCUUUGUCUGCUGUGCACAAACACCACUACCUGCCCGAAACCCCUUCAGCCCUCAGAUUUCCAUUUACAGCUGUCUCCAGAGUGUCGCAAGAAAAGAUGAUGGAUGGGCAGAACUUUAUUUCCAUUAGAACGAAGCCAACUGAAUAUUUCCAUCUGCUUUAUUAAAAAUACUAGUUCUCGCUUUGCUUAAUCUUGAAAAAUGCAACAUGUUUCUGCAGCUGAGUUUGCAUUUUGUCUAGGAAAUGGAUGCCUGAGGUGGAACGAUUUUCUGUGGGAACAGAGCAAGGUGCGAUUUAAUGCCUUCCCUCCCACGGGCAGAGGGCAUCCAGCUUGGCAGAGAGAAGCUGAUAGCCCCACAAUUACCAUCUCCCCAAAGGGGUCAAUACUUUGGGUUUUUGGCAAGGUGGCCCCUGAACUCCAGCAACAAAGGCGGUCAGGGAGAUAACUUGAACACUUGAACCGGAGACCUCUCUGUCAUCUCAGCCUUGUCCUCAGGCUCGGUGCUCCACUCCCUGACCACGUCCAAGCCCUGCAGAGGGUUGUUCUCCCUCCUCGACAGGUUUCUGUAAUUCCUGCGCUUGACACACUGCUCGUGAUUCGUAGCUGGCAUCGGUUACAGAAGAUUGCUGGAAGAAGUGAGCACUAAAGUGCUGGGAUUCGAUGGGGUGGGAGGCAUGGGGAGGGAAACACACUAGAAGCACAGGAGCUUGGCAUCUCUCAUUGGGGCCUGAGGGAGUCGGAUUUGGGUGAACAACUGCUCUAUCACAGCGUCUGUAUAACUACAACUCUGUCCAAAGAAUAGAGUUUGUUCAUGAUUUUCUUUACUUGCAUUGCUUUUCCUAUUUCCCUCUGCUUUUCCCAGAAAUAGAACAUGACAUUUAUUUUUAUGGACAGCAUGAUCUUAUGGCUAUUCCCCUGUGACGAGAUAAUCUGAACACAAUUAUGUUCUGUUGACAAAAAGUGAUAAAAGUGUAUUGUGUCAACACUCUGAACUAACAGAUUUGUCAUCUGCUCUACUCUCAGAUAAUAGAAACAGAAUUAGAAAAUGC